GUUGUUAGUCACCGGCGUAAAGCGUGGUUAAAAAUAUACUUCACUAAAGCCGAAAACUUUCAAAGCUGUUAUACGCAUCCGAAAGUAAAAAGACCAAUAACGAAAGUAGCUUUACUUAUUUGAACCCACGAAAGCUACGGCACAAACUGGGAUUAGAUACCCCACUAUGCCUAGCCGUAAACAUUGACAGUAAAAUACAACUACUGUCCGCCCGGGUACUACGAGCAUCAGCUUAAAACCCAAAGGACUUGGCGGUGCUUUAGAUCCACCUAGAGGAGCCUGUUCUAGAACCGAUAACCCCCGUUAAACCUCACCCUUCCUUGUUUCCCCCGCCUAUAUACCACCGUCGUCAGCUUACCCUGUGAAGGCCCUAUAGUAAGCAAAAUUGGCACAGCCCAAAACGUCAGGUCGAGGUGUAGCGUAUGGAAGGGGAAGAAAUGGGCUACAUUCACUUCCUUAGUGAAUACGAACGAUGCAUUGAAACAUACAUCUAAAGGAGGAUUUAGCAGUAAGCAGAAAAUAGAGUGUUCUGCUGAAACUGGCCCUGAAGCGCGCACACACCGCCCGUCACUCUCCCCAAGCUCCCUUAAAUCAAGUAACUAAGCACACACAAC
rnacentral:rRNA from 1 species